rnacentral:tRNA from 1 species
GCCUCGGUAGCUCAGUCGGAAGAGCACUCGCCUCUUAAGCGAUAGCGCGAUGGUUCGAAUCCAUCCCGUGGCA